UGCGUGUACCUGUCAUCAUCGUCCAGCAGCUGAAAAUAAUAACAAGACGAAAUUAACAAUUAGUCAUCAUCCUGGUCGCCAUCGCAUUUUUCCGUCGAUUUUGCGCGAGUGUGCUGCUAUUUCCCGUGAGUUCGGCUGUUCCCCGGAAGAUAUAAACGGUGCAGUUUUCCAGAGCGAGGCCAAACCUUGUGGCACAGGAAGCCGUUCCCUUGGAAGCACUGCAAAGAUUCUUCGGGAGUUAAAGUUGGAUGAACCAGCAGAAGAACCAGCGAUCGAAGGAAUCCACAGGGCCAAAAGGAUCGUGCGAAAGGGUCGGAUUGUGAGAGCCGACAUAAUUAGAUGACUGUUAUUGGGUGAAGCCACACCUUUCGGACGAGCAAAUAGAAACUGGCAUACGAGCGUGAGCAUACCAGCCUGAAGAGCAAAGCCUCAACCACUCCCAGGCCCCAAAUAGGGGUCUUUUUCCGGAGCUGAAAAUUGUGUCGUCCGAGGACUAGUGCCGUCUUCUCCCGGAAGCUGAAGCUGCUGCCGGUGGUGCUCAACUCCUGGUCAUCUGAUGACAUUGAGGUCGCUGCAAGUAAGAAAAGGUGAAGAAGAAUAAGAAACAUGUAAGUACUAGCGCUAGUCAGAAGAAAAAAAGAAGAAGCUGUAGCAAAGUGAGAAGAAGUAAUAAGAAGCAGCCAAGCAAGAAGAAGAAGCAGCAG